AAAAUAGAAGGUUCUCUUCUCUCAAAAGCCCCAAACUGUGCAAUAAACCCCACACACAACUCUCUCUCUCUCUCUCUCUCAUAUUUACAUGCUUCUCCGAUCUCGCCCGUGAAAUUGAGUGACGUAAUCAUGCCGGACGUGCAUACCCUUGUGAAUGGUUUCAUCAUCAAGCUGAAAAGGCGUAAAAUCGAGGGCUCGCAUGCCACGGCUAAGCAGGCUGCUGAGUUGCUGCGCUCGGUGAUUUCGUCACAGCGUGUGCCUUACACGAAUCAAGCUGCAGCCUUGAUUGAUGCUGUCAAGGCCGUUGGGGAGCAGCUCAUUGUUGCAAAUCCUGUGGAGCUUGCUGUGGGUAAUAUUGUGAGGCGUGUUUUGCACAUUAUCAGGGAGGAGGAUCUUUCUCUCGCCAAUGCUGCUAUGGCUGGGUUGAACAUGUCGACUGUCAGUGAUGAUGAAGAUGAUGGUGACCGCGACAACUAUCCUGUCUUGUCUGCUGCUGUAGUUGCAGCAGCUGCAAGAAGCACACUGCGUCCUCCGUCCUUGCAAACCCUCCUUGAAGACAUACCUGAUGCAGCAGCUUUGCCUCACACGUCUUCAUCUGGGGGUGAUUCUGAAGGAAAAAGCAAAUCUGCUGAUAAAAGUUCUAGAAGCCGGAAGCUGAAACAUGAUGUCAUUGAAGCAGUCAAUGAACUUAUUCAAGAUAUUGGCACUUGCCAUGAGCAGAUUGCUGAGCAAGCAGUAGAGCACAUUCACCAUAAUGAGGUUAUAUUAACUCUAGGCAGUUCAAAAACAGUACUGGAAUUUCUUUGUGCGGCAAAGGAUAAAAAAAGAUCAUUUCGGGUAUUUGUUGCAGAGGGAGCUCCAAGGUAUCAGGGGCAUCAUCUUGCAAAAGAAUUGGUUGCCAGAGGUUUACAAACCACGCUGAUUACUGAUUCUGCAGUAUUUGCUAUGAUAUCUCGAGUUAACAUGGUUAUAGUUGGUGCUCAUGCUGUCAUGGCCAAUGGUGGGGUUAUAGCACCUGUUGGGUUGAAUAUGGUUGCACUGGCAGCCCAAAGGCAUGCUGUCCCUUUUGUUGUACUUGCUGGCAGUCACAAGUUGUGUCCUUUGUAUCCACACAACCCAGAAGUCUUGCUGAAUGAGUUAAGAUCCCCUUCUGAGCUGCUGGAUUUUGGAGAAUUCUCAGAUUGCUUGGAUUCCCAAAGUGGCACUGGUUCCCCACUUCUGCAUGUUGUCAAUCCUACAUUUGAUUAUGUGCCGCCAAAGCUUGUUGGUCUAUUUAUUACUGAUACUGGAGGCCAUAAUCCAUCAUACAUGUACCGGCUCAUCGCAGAUUACUACUCUGCUGAUGAUUUGGUGGUCCAACUAAGACCUGGUACAGGGAGUUGAGUUCAGCUCCUGCUUUUAUAUCAUAUAUUGGGGCCCCUCCUGGCUCCUGAUGUUUGUGCAUUACAACUUCUGGGUUGAAGUGGGGUGGGAUUUACAGAUAUUAGGUGCUUAAAUGUCAUAAUUUCGAUCAGAUAUUCAGUGGGUAUGCUACGGCAGUUACCUGUUAGGGAGUACAGAAAGCUAUAAUGGUAAUGGGAUAAUCUGUGUUAUGGAAACUUGAAGAUCGUUGUCAUUACUGGUAGAGUGUCCUUGGACAAGAUGCGUUGCGGAGGAGUAUUAUGAGAAUUUAACCUCAGAUGAUACUACGAGAGCCAAUUUUGUGUAUCUGGCUACUUAGGGAAGUAGAGUUAUAUUCUUCGAAACACAGUGAAUAUAAUGUGUUUUUGUUAUGAUAUUGUAAGGACAAUGUGGAGAAGGAUUGUAUUCCAGUUCCAUAACAGGAUGUCGGAUACUAAAAUGUUGUAUUGCAUGUUGCUGAUCUUUUGCAGAUUGUUGAUGGUACCUUGUUUCAGUUACCGGAUGAGUGCCAGAAAUACUGUUGGAUAUUUGGCUUUUAGCUGACUGAAAAUAUUUUCCGGUUUCCAAGCGUGGAUUGUGUUUU